rnacentral:lncRNA from 1 species
UGUGAACUAAUUGGAAUCACUGAAAAAGAUAGGGGUUGCUAUUUUAGAGGAAAAUGGGAUGUUAAUAUAAUAGGAGCAACUUACACCGAAGCUGUCGAAACCAUUUUUGCAAACUCGGACCUCGGAAUAAUACCCAAGAGUUGCGAACACUUACUACCUUUUAACUCUAAGAUUCUUCAUCAUAUCAUGACAAGCAUACUAUUCCCU